rnacentral:rRNA from 1 species
AGACAGCAGUCGCCGCGGGAAUACGAAGGGUGCAAGCGUUACUCGGAAUUACUGGGCGUAAAGCGUGCGUAGGUGGUUGUUUAAGUCCGUUGUGAAAGCCCUGGGCUCAACCUGGGAAUUGCAGUGGAUACUGGGCAACUAGAGUGUGGUAGAGGAUAGUGGAAUUUCCGGUGUAGCAGUGAAACGCGUAGAGAUCGGAAGGAACAUCUGUGGCGAAGGCGACUAUCUGGGCCAACACUGACACUGAGGCACGAAAGCGUGGGGAGCAAACAGGAUUAGAUACCCGUGUAGUCCCUGUCUCUUAUAC